AACUAUGCUCGCUAGUCAGGAACUCAUCCAAAUUGCUGUUGAGAUCGUAACAGGAACUCACACGGCCAGUUACGUUACGCAACGUUUGACACCAGGAAUCUGCAUUGGAUGAUAGCUGCCCAAGAAUUCUCUUCAAAUUACUUACUUGAGAUGUCAUUUGGCCGUCGUAUUCACGGCAAAUCUGUUUGUCAUCUGCUUAAUAGCCUCAAAGUUAGCAAAAGUGAGAAAAUGUGAAAUGUUAUCUGAUCGAAUAGCAUACUUUGACGGUAUAUCAUCGAAGAGCCAUUAAAACCAUAUGAGGUCUUGGGAGCCAGUAAGCCGAGGCUUAGGAGUAACGAGACAUUCCAUCUUUCGUGAUUUGAUGACUGCUGUCGCAUGGCUGGAUCAUGCAUCAUUUUCCAUUCGCAUAAUUUAUGUUUAUUUUUACCUCAUCUAGAAUCCAGUUUCUGCUGGAGUGUUCUGCUUCUCUUUUCGCCAUAAGAAAUAGAGCGAAAACACCGGAAAACAUCAGCCCGAUAAACAGCGUGUAACAUCUCCUCAUUUUCCAGUCCAAAAGCAUUCCAAGCCUUAUUUAGGGAUGAAACUACAAUGGAAGACGAAUAUCAGCAGUUGAACUGAAACAGUUCGUAUGCACUAUCUUCAAGUGGGUUUGUAAGCAUAUGCUUUUACUAAUUCUUUUCUCUGUUUUGCUUCAGGGUAGAACGAAACGCUAGAAAAAUCAGUAAACUCAUAGACAUAAUUAGAAAUGAUGUGUUAAGAAGCACGGCGGCCGCUUCUAUUUCAAAAGACUUAAUGUAUUCUCAAUCACGGACCCUUCCAUUGCACAAGUGGCCCGGUGUACGUACGCGGAAUGUGAAGACUCACGGAUCUGUUUUCCAGCCGCAUAGCAAACACGUCAGCUUGAUAUGAACAAAAAUUGCAGUUAUCUUCUAAUGCGCCUAACGUCCACACCAUCUAACCGUACUUCAUUUUUUUAUUACAAAUUCAUUCAAUGGAACAACUAUGGAAUUGGAAAAAAUAUCGUAAAAGAAGAACUAAAUCCUCGAGGUAAAAUGUUAAAAGAAUAACAAAAGCUAACCUACUUACCGACUUGAAGUUAGAUAUCCUUGGUGAGAUACACUGCACUAUAAUGCCGUCCCAAGAUGCGCUCUCUGUAGUGUACGGAAAGGAACUGAACGGAACAGCGUGCCAGAUUCUCAGUAAGUGUUUAAAGCAAGCGCCCGACCAAACUGAGUCGUGUUCGAAACAAUUGACGAUCGCUAACGCACAUGCAAAUCGAGGAGACCAUUCACUGUAUUUUAUGUUGUCUCAGUUUAGCCCAAUACACAACAAC